GACAACAGUCUGUGACAACAGGCUACAUUUAAGAGAAAAAGAGAUGAAUCCAGAAACAGCUGGUUUUGCUCUUCUGGAACUAGAAAUGGUCUUUUUAUCCUAGUAGAAUCAGAAUAACCUUCCGUGGAUGUGGAAACAGCACCAGUGUGACUCUGCCUACCACAGAACCCAGGAUGCCAAGCACCGUGGGUGUUUCAAAACUGUUUUGAAACUUACCACCCACACUAGGCCACCUCCCUGCGCCCAGUCAAUUUCAACAGAGGCCUGGUGGUGCAAUGUUGAUAUUCCCCUGGCAGAAACUCCUUUCCAGAAGCUAUAGGAUGGGGCAGGCUUCUUAGGCGCAGAUUCCCCACACCGUGAUUUGAUAGCGCGUGGCACACUUGUAAAUAAAUACAUUCCAUUCGAAAAUUUACUUUCAGCACAGCAUUUUGCCAGGCCAUACGUUUUCUCACGGGCUCCUCCCCCUCACAUCAUGCCUCUGAUACUGCUUGCUACAAACGCCCAUGGAAGUGUGGAUUUGGCGGACCGGUGCUUUGUUCUGUUUCAUUUAAAAUGAUCAUUGGACCGUUUCCACCCCCAGCCUGAUUUCUUUCAGGGCUGAUCAGAUGUCUGUAGAGAUCUGCGCCUGUGGACUCAUGUUAAUCUGUUAAUUGAGUUAGACCUUCACUUGGCUCUAUCCUGUGUCUCACAGUGAAACGCUGGCUGCAGUGAGGUUUGUGCUGGUUGAAAACAUGAGAGCUGAUGAAUUACAGCUAGAAUGUGACAUUGACCACAGUUAGUCAUCAAAGGGGGAGGCACUGCUCACUCUCAGACCUGCAGAGCUCGCAGAACAGGCCCCCGGGGGCUUGGGAGCAUUGGUGACCUGCAGCCAGCGCCCCCUUCUUCUGGAAGCCUUGACACACAGCACGUAACGCGGGGCUGAGGGGCAUGACUCAGCACCCUGGCUCCACUCCUGGGAGGCUCUCUCCAUCCCCCAGGACUGCAGUUUCAAUGCUAUCCUCUGUGACUCAGCUGUCACCACCUCUUUGGGCAAGUUCCACUGCAGGUUUUGUGGGCCAGCGCUCUUGACCGAGAUGCAAAGGCCUUAUCAGCCAAGCAGAUGGCUGGACCAGCUGCCACUUCCCAGGGAGACCAGGAGUUUCCCCCUGGGUCAGCAGGGAGGGGUUUCCUGCGAGGAUCCCACGUGCCAAGUCCUCGGGGAUGCAAGACAUUCUGAGGAUGUGACUUACACGGGGAAGCUCACCAGGACUUCUCCGAUUCGAUAUAAAUAACUCUGCACUGGCAGAUGGGGCGCGAGCCAAGUAGUAAUGAAUACUAGGACAAACAAACAGGCCUCCGGGAUGCCGGCCCAGCCGCUCCAAACCACAGUUGGCAACAGGUUUGGAGGUGGCAGUGGGCGAAAAUCGUACCAGCAACACUGCAGUAAUCCUCGGGAGCGAACGCAGGGAAGCUCUCUCCAGAACGUGCCCUGCUUGAGAGACAGCAAGAGUCAUGAGACCGCUCCGGCCCGCCUUUGGCAAACAAGAGUCUAUAAUUAUGCAGACGUGCAUGGGAGCAGAAGGAAAUCCUGGAUUGCGUCUAGCAGUAUCGUAUGCUGCACAACGAAUCCUGUGAAGGACAGAAAAACACCUCGCCGAGACAUGUGGGUAAAGAUUUGAAAAGGAGGAAGGAGCAGCCCAUGAGAAUAUUGAAGGGGAAGACCACUGCGGACAAAGAGAACAGCAAAUACGGCGGCUCAGAGGUAGGGUGCACCGGCUGUAUUUGACUUCCUUAGCAGAGGUCAGUGUGGGUGGAAAAGUGGAGGGCUGGGGGGGGGGGGGGCCGUCUAAGAGGUAACGGGAGGCAGUUCCUGGGAAGUUUGCAGAAUAAGAGUGCAUAUACCAGGCAGCAAUCACACUUCAAAGGCCCAUAUGAAGUUAAUGGUUAUGAAUUUAUAUUUGAAUUUAGCUGUAAAAUGUGGCUUGAGAGAAAUCCCUAAAGCUCCUUCCAUGCUGGCUUAUCGGACGGGUCUUCUCUCGUGUCCGGAGUCUGUUCCUCCCUUUGGUCCACCUUUGAUCUUUUCCCUGAUCCCUUCCGCCAGAUUUAUUUGUACCCCCAUCCUUGUUCCUACCUCACUCUGCCCUACAUAGAACUGACAUUGCAUCAUGGUAACUGUUUUCUGCCUUCAACCGGGAACCCCUCAAGCACAACGAGGAGCCAUCAUCAUUGAAGGCAAUGCUCAGUAAAUUGAACUGCACUCUAUACAAUCCCACCAGAUUAUUGUAGGAAAGGGCUAAACGGCAACCGUGCAAGAAGAUUCUUUCGGUGCUGUUGCCAGAUUUGGUUUGUCUUUAAUUUAAGCACCCUGCUGAAUGUGCAAUCGAUAUUUCAGUAAUUAUGUACAAAUAGUUCUCAUUAUAAAUCAAAGUUGUUAUUACUGCCUUAAGCUUUGGCCUUGGUCUCUCUUCUGGGAGACCGGGCUGUUUUCCCGGAGUCGAAGGCCUCAGCUGGCUCCCAUGCCGUUCCCCUACAAAGCUGCACGCCGGGGUUAGCUGGUUAAGGGGGACAGAAACCAGUCUCCGGACACAGCUGGAGUAAAUCUUAAGCACCAGACUCACCAGCGAGAGGAGCGGGCCUCUGCUCCUAAAUGCAGGAUUGUGGCUAGAAGGCCACCAUGACCCCUAAGAGCACAAAACUCUCUAGGGAAUUAUUGAGACCUAAGGUCACUCGACCUGAAGAAAGCUCUGGAACACGAACUGCAAGGCAGAGUUGUCCCAUGUUGAUGUCCUCCUGUCAUUGGCCCCUAGGGGCUGGUCAGUCACAGGGUGCUUCCUGCAUGGGGCAGGGUGCUUGCGGGCAGAGGGGAUCCCCCCCCAAGCAAGGCAGGCUCCGUGUGCCAGGCCAGCUCUCCAGAGAAACAGCUCCAGGCAGUUGGGGGACAGGUGCGCUGGCCAGGGAAGGGGCACCUAGAGUAGCACCCAGGCCAAUCAGCGCACACUCCCUGGAGAUUCAAACUAGAACCAGAUGGCUUAGCCAACAAAGAUGAAGGGAAGCACAAACUCUGUACACUUUUUCUUCUUUCCCCGCAAGGAACUAGGCUUAGUUGCAAACCAAAAGGGUUCUUCAGGGAGUGGUGUCCUUAAGAUGAGGAAAUCCACAGGUAGCCCAACCUUUUCAUGAAAGUUCUUGUCCCGUCACUAGCAAAUGGCUCAGCUGUAUCUGAACCUGUUCGAAGCACGAGAAUACAUAGUGUUCUAUCUCGCCAGGGGGUCCUACCUCUGAAUUCUCUGGCACCUCCCUCCAGAGUCUCCACAGCCCCCACCCCGCACUGGGUCAGGACAGAGCUCUACUGUUUAGCCCCAAGUCACCAUAACCGCCCGCAUUUCUGGCCAUGGCAAUUUCAACUCCCUAAAUGUGCCCCGGGUGGGAAGAGAAUCCAGAUGUAACCGUGACCAAGAGUAGGAAACCUUACCUCAGAGGCCAGGGCCCCAGAUGAUGACCCAUUCCUUAAUUUCUCAGUCAGAGAGAGCCGUCCUCUGAAUCGACGGCAGAGUCAACACCAGCCACGCACAUAGGCUUUGACUUCUUACGAUCAAAAGGAAAAAGGUUCCCAUCUCUCCAUUUUAUCACAACAUUGAAUCUGCCAUUAUUGUCCAUGGAGCCUUUGUUUCGAGCCCAGCACAGAUAUUAUAAGAGGGCUCACUAAGUACUCUUUUUAAAAGACCAUUCAGUGUGUCCAAACCUCUGCUGUGUACCUCCCUUCUUGUUCGAAGCGACAUUCACGCACCUCUCUGGGUCCUUGCGCGCUGGACCCGUGGAGAACCCACCUGACUUGUUUCCCCCCACGCCCACACCUGGUUCUCACAUGGGUCCCCUCAAGACACCUGCAUAUUCUAUUCCCUUCUUGCCUUUGGUUCAAAAUAAAUUACAAACCCUAAAGAUUCUAAGAAGAGAUGAAAACAAAAACCCAAUUUAUCCAGAGAACUAGUCAUUUACCCCCUGGAGGUAUGAUUAGCUCACGUCUUACGCUGAACCAGGGUGAAUUAAAACAACAACAUCCAAAACCCAAAAAACAAACCAAAAAAACACGUGUUAAAUAUAUAGUUAAGCCUUAGACCUCUAACAGAUGACUAAUGGGUGUUAUGCUGUGUUUUGUUUCUUGUUAAAUUCCCAGAGAUAAUUAUUUACUCAAUAAAGUUUAAACAGUUACCGUAG